UUUCACUUGGCCUUGUGCAACUUGGAGCUUAGCUUUGGUUCUCAACAAAGCUCCCUGAUCCCACUUUCCACUCUGAUCUAGAGCUGCAUCAAUGAUAGUUUCAGCUUCUGGAAACUUUUUUUGAGCUGAUAACACCCGAGCCAACAGCAUCCACCCCUUCAGAGUAGACUCACCUUCCAAUUCAACAAAGCACUUUGCAUAAUGGAGUGCAGUAUCCAACUUCCUUUUCUCCGCAUUUUCUACACAAAGAUGGUAAAUGACAUUGGAGUCAUUCAUCUUCG
rnacentral:misc_RNA from 1 species